rnacentral:lncRNA from 1 species
CUUGCCUGGACUGCAAAUUAAAAUGUUUAAAGAACACCAUUCUUUAAUUUUAGGCUCACCUUUAGUGGAAUGUGAUUUAGUAGAUUCCUUGUCUACUCCUUGCUCAGCCUUUGCUGCCUAAACAUAGGAUGUGCUGCUCAGGUCCAUGUGCUUGCUUUCACUGUCAGGGAGAAGCUGGCAGCUCUGAGGGGAGCAGGGUGAAGCCAAAUACUGAACUGCAUGCUGGAGGCUGCUGUUGACUACAAAGGGAGUUGAAGUGACCAGCUGAGAUCAGCUUCUAAAUGGGUAAACCCAGUAUUAAAGGCAGAAAUCAAAGCACAGGACCCAUGGGAAGCGACGUUUCAAAUGUACACCAUUGCUUUUCUUCGUCAUUGUUCUGAACUGUGCACCCUCUGCUCCUGACAGUGCACCCACAACAAGAUAAGGAGUUUGAGUACGUAAGCGUCUUCUGUGGGAAGAGGAGCAACAGCUGCCCACCAAAUUGGAAGAAGAUAUAAUGAAUGCAUCUUCUCUGAAUCACAAGAAAAAGACGAUUUCAACUUAAGAGAACAUUUUAAUCUCAGUCAAAAUGGGGCAUCUUCACCAUAAGGUUGUCUGCAGUCAUGGUAUGGCUUUCCUGACUUUGCUAAUUCCUUUGGGCUUUAAUUAGAAACACUUCAGCAACACUUCCUAAAGCAUGCAAAUGUUGGGGCUCCCACUAACAGUAUUAUUAAGAUAGAGUCUUAAUUCAUUUUUCUAUGGUGGCAGUAUGUUUC